UCCAUAGAGCGAGGACGAGACCAGAUUAGUUGGUGCCUUGACCAAUCAGAGAAAAGACUAGGAAGGCGUUGUUUCCUCCACCCACUUCUCCCUCCUAAGCUCCUGACCAAUCGGUGAGCGUCGAGGGGCAGUGACCAAUCAGCGGAGAGGGGAGUGGCUUUCCCCCAGGCCCCUUUCAGAAAUUCUGGUAAAGGGCUUAAGGCGAGGCGGGAGAUGGAGGGGGAUAAAGAGAGAUGGGGGGGAUGGGGUGAGCUAGGGAAUGGACAGUUCGAAUCCGUUCUCCCUUCUCCUUGCUGUGUGCCCCCCCCAGAAUCGUUUCCCCUCUUUGGGGACUCCCUUCUCCCCAUCUGUAAAAUCAGGGGGUCUGACUGAAGUCCCUUCCGAGCUGUGCCUUACUGCGGUCCACUCUUGCGCAGGAACGUUCUGUGGUGCCCCAUCAGCCGCAGCAUUCCUCCAGGCCCUUCCGCCUUCACCCGUUCCCCGAAGCCCUCUUCGCCCCAGCAAGAGAGAACAAUUCUUAGCAUGGAGUAUGUGCACUUGCUUUUAGAAGAUAUUUCAAUAACUGCAGCUCAGUGUAACUGGUUCCUUUGGUAAUCCUAUGUAUGUAUUUAAGACAGGUCUAAGAAGGGCCGACAACAGCAGGCAGCCAAAGAAUACCAACAAGGUUAAGGACUCCUGGUCUAGAAGAGCCUGCGUUAGAGCUGGGUAGGAUUCCAGAGGCUAGCUCCUAGUUUUACUAGCAAAGCACCUUAUUAAAUAUUAUCUCCUCCUCACCACAACUCCCAGAGGUAGGCUCUGUCAGUAUCCCCAAUUUACAGAUUAGGAAACUGAGUGCUGUCCAGGGUCACACCGCUACUUAACGUCUGAGGUACGUCCCGCCCUCCAGCUACUGCGCUACGUAGCUACCCAGAUCAGGAAACUGAAACCCACGGGCACUGUGGCUUGACCCAGGACCCCAGUCUCUCCAGCCCUUAACCCGGUGCCUGACACAUAGUAGCCGCUUAAGGAACGUCGGUGGUCUGACUGACCGAGCACAGGGUCCCGACCAAUUGAAGCUCAGGAGUGUGAGCGUCUCUUCCGAGGGAGAAAGAAGCACCAGACUGAGCAGUCCCUGCAGGCUCCCAGCGUCUUCCUUCUCCGUCUUCCCUCCAUCAGAGGGGUACACAGAGGAUGGGGCAUGGCGAGUGGGGUGCGGGAGAGGACGGAAUGAGACCUUCGGGGCUCCUGGAGUGGACAAGAGCUCUCUGAAGCCUCCUCUCUAGCUCGUCCCCCGUGCCUAGAAUGGUCUCCCUUCUCCCCUCCCCUCCCAGGGUCCUUGGCUAAUCCCCCCUUCCCCAGGAAGCCCUUUCCCAUCCCCGUUAAUUCGGGCGCCUUCCCUCUGAGAUCAUCUCCAGUUUAUCCAGAUUAGUUCUUGUUCGCACCUAAUUGUUCGCAUGUCAUCUCUCCCUUUAGACUGUGAGCCCCUUGAGGGCAAGGACUGCCUUUUGCCUUGUCUUUGCCUAGCACAUAGUAGGUGCUUAGUACAUGUUUAUUUAUUGAUUGAUAGAAUAGGAGAUGGGUUAGCAGGACCCAGGGGUGGAAGCCUCUGAAGGGAAGGGAGAGAGGUAGAGGAGAAAAGUGGGGUUGGGAGCCCAUAAGCCUGGGUCCCCAGGACGUUCUGGGGCUCUAAGGCAGAAGGUCUGGAUGUCUAGGUCCCUGGUGCAGGAGGGAUCUGGGGGACCAGGACCCCUGGGUCCCUGAGAAGGCAGAGGCAGGGGACCCAGAUGUCUGAGUCUUGGCAGGGAGGAGGGGUCUGGGAUUUCAGCCUUCUAAGUUCUGGAACAGUAAGGAGUCCUGGGGCUUGGGAAGGGGCACAGCCAGGCAGGAAGCCGCCUGGGGUGUUUACUUUGGCUGUGGGACAAGGGGCUGGCCAAGAGAGGACACAAGAGAGAUUGAUUGUUCAUCCUGCAAACUCCCCACCCCCUUCUCAGGCUGGGAACUUGGGGACCUUCUGAGGACACGCUCAGAUCCCCCUCCGGGGGCCCCCUGCCCUUCCCGGAACCACACUGCUGUGUCCUCUUAGAGGGGGGAGGCCACAGCCCAACCCCCUCUCCCUUCUAAACAGAGCAGCCCCCCUGCAGGGAUUUCUGCAGGAGAGGCUGGAGAUUAAUGUUAAGAGGAUUAGCAGAGAGAAAUCUGGCUUCAGUUUGGGGAGGAUGUGGAAAGCAGCCUAAAUGAAGCCCACCCCCAUCCAGAGACCCAGGAAUCCUAUCCUCUGGCAUUGUCUAAGCAAGGGCCCUAGGGAUGCUCUCGUCCAGAAAGUUCUCCCUCAGGGAUCCAGGGGUUCUGCACCCCAACCUUCCCACUCCCUCCAGUAGCUGUUAGGAAUUUAGAAGCCCAUUUUCCCCACCCAGAAUUCGCAAGGACUAAAGUCUCAGGCAUCUGGUCCCCCAACUCCCACCUCAGCUAAGAACAAAGAGAAGUCGGGCCUCCAAUCUCUGUUAGGCAUCCAGACCUCCUAUUCUGAGCCCCUUAUGAGUGCUAGUGUCCAUCCCCCUAUGUGCCUUAGGGACCAAGGCAUUUGGGUCCUCACCUUCCAGGUGGCAGACUCCUCCAGGAAGCCUUCCCAGAUCCCUCCAACUCAAAGUGUUCUCUCCCUUUCCAGAUUUCCCUAUAAGGCACUUGAUCCGAUUCUUUCCCACCCCUGUACCCCUCAUCCACUCCCCUUUUUCUCUUUACUCCCCACGUAGCAGACUUCUUUGUACACUUGGCACAUCCAUGUCUCCCAGACUAUAAGCUCCCUGAAAGUAGCGUCUGUUUUACGGAGUUUUCCCACCAUCAUUGUCUCCACUGAGCUUAGGACAUUCUCUUCUUGUCUGGCUGUGAUUUCAUCAGCUUGGGGAAUUCCCAGCGUGGAGAGCUGGGUUUGCACUCAGAAGAUUUGGGAUCAAAUCCUGACUCUGGUUUUGAUGGGGCAGUCACUCAAACUCUGUGCCUCAGUUUCUUCAUCUUGUCGCUGCCAGCUCUAGGUCUAUGAGUCUAUUAAAUUCCCUGCAGUACACCUUGGCAGCUCUGUGACUCGUCUGUAACAAGAGGCUUUGGGACAUGGAGAUAUCCUCCACCCUACUCCUGGACCCUAUGAUCCCAGUUCCUCAGGGCUCAGAGAUUCAGAGGUCCUGAUACCUCAGCCUCAACUGUACCCUGUCGCCACAACCCAGAAAAAGCUGCUUUGGUCUCUUUUAUACAGUUUUAUUAGGGGGGAGUCUGGGAGUGAUGCCUCAGGCUGGACCUGCCUGGGUUGGAGAUAAGGGGGAGCCAGCAUUCACUGGCUCACUGUUCCCCCUUCAGCAUG